rnacentral:lncRNA from 1 species
GCCAUCUGUAAAAAAAAAAAGUCAAGCACACAUACUGAUUGUCGUCGUGAGGUUGCACUGGCUGAACGACGUAAGCAAGCUCUCGGCGAAUAAAAACAACGACCUUGCUACUUUCGAUGUCGCUUGAUGAGAAAAAAGACUCGUAGCCGGAUAGUCUGAU